rnacentral:ncRNA from 1 species
CGAAAGACGUUGAAGAGGACGAGUAUGCAUCGCCCAAACGGUACAGAGAGCAGGAGCCGGUGAAAACCUGCCCGUACAGGGAUGCAGAAUGGACCUCGGAGUUGCAAGGCGAACGGCCACCCGGCCCACUAGCCAACGCCGGAGCUGCCACCGUUAUCAAGGCAAAGGAUAUCGCGACUCUUGCCGCCGUAUCCGCAAGAGUGAGGCUGGCUUUGAUCCCCUGGUGCCUACACCAGGGGAUUUUUGUAACCAAAGGCAGUCAGCCUAACUGGGGUGGCACCACGGACCAGCGUUCGUCCCCAGA